rnacentral:rRNA from 1 species
CCUACGGGUGGCAGCAGUGAGGAAUAUUGGUCAAUGGACGAGAGCCUGAACCAGCCAAGCAGCGUGAAGGAUGACUGCCCUAUGGGUUGAAAGCUCUUUCUACAUGGGAAUAAAAUGUUCCACGUGUGAGCUUUUCUAUGUACCAUAUGAAUAGGGAUCGGCUCACGCCGUUCCAGCAGCCCCGGUCCUACGGAGGAUGCGAUCGUUAUCCGGAUUUAUUGUGUUUAACGGGAGCGUAGGUGGAUUGUUAAGUCAGUUGUGAAAGGUUGUGGCUCAACCGUAGAAUUGCAGUUGAAACUGGCAGUCUUGAGUACAGUAGAGGUGGGCAGAAUUCGUGGUGUAGCGGUGAAAUGCGUAGAGAUCACGAAGAACACCGAUGGCGAAGGCAGUUCACUGGACUGCAACUGACGCUGAGGCUCGAAAGUGUGGGGAGCAAACAGGAUUAGAUACCCGAGUAGUC